GCGCCUCCAGUUACACCCUGCCCGGGUGGUGAAAUCGGUAGACACAAGGGAUUUAAAAUCCCUCGAUCGUAAGGUCGUGCGGGUUCA
rnacentral:tRNA from 1 species